rnacentral:rRNA from 1 species
UACGUAGGGAGCAAGCGUUGUUCGGAUUUACUGGGCGUAAAGGGCGCGUAGGCGGCAAAUUAAGUCAGCUGUGAAAUCUCUGAGCUUAACUCGGAACGGUCAGCUGAUACUGAUCUGCUAGAGUGCGGAAGGGGCAAUCGGAAUUCUUGGUGUAGCGGUGAAAUGCGUAGAUAUCAAGAGGAACACCUGAGGUGAAGACGGGUUGCUGGGCCGACACUGACGCUGAGUGCGCGAAAGCCAGGGGAGCAAACGGG